rnacentral:lncRNA from 1 species
AGGAAAUCAGAUGCUUUCUGUAAGCAUCAGAAUAUAGAAUACAUAGUGAUUUGACUAUGAAUUUUAAAUCCACAUUUUAAUAUUAGUGGGGUAUUGCAAAGACAUUCCUUCUAAAGUUUUAAUAUUCCUUUUAUUAAGGGUCUCAGGGAGGGUAAAUUAGUCAGCCAUAUUUAUUUUCCAGAGAUGUAAGGAAUUGCUAAGGACUAGUGGAAAAAGCUGAUUCACCAGCUACUCAGAGGCUGCUAAUUCAUUGCCAAUGUCUCGGUUUUUCAGUUCUGCCUCCGUGAUAAAUUUAAGGAUAAAGAAUAGGGAGGGGU